CACAGCAUCGCUUUCUCCUGCCUGGGUGAGCUCCAGAGCUGCACUGCUCAACAUCAGAGCAGCAGCAAGAGAUGGAUGCAGCCCUCCCGCAUCCCAGAGCGUCGCUGCGGGGCUGGCACCCGGAAAGGCAGCAAGAAGACCCCCAAAGAGCUCGCCCCUGUCCUCCCUGCUCCCACCCCCCAGCCAAUGAAGCUCUUAUGCUGAUGGCUCCAAGAUCCUUCCCAAUGUCCCAAACCCAGGUACCAAACUUCUUCCUUCCUCUGCAUCCUUCCUGCAACCCCACAACGCUCCCCUUAAGCCUUUCUUCUUCUCAUAAAGUCACCCCCACGUCCCUGCUCUGUCCCCUGUUCCAUGUCCCCCCUCCUCAGCCCAGCCCUAGGUGUUUUUUGCAGCAGAUGGUUCAUUGUUGUUCCCUCUCAGCCCCUCUCCUAUCCCUGCCCCGGUGUCGAGUGCCAACAGAUGGGUGAUGCUAAGAACUAACAUGUGCUUUUAAUAAAUUGCUUCGUUUUAAAGCAGAGGGGUGAGGAGAGACAGUGGCUGGUUCUUCUUGGGUCCCCUCUGUGGGGGAGCAGGGCUUGGGGCCUGGGAAAGGCUCUUACUCCUGGGGGUGAGCUCCAUCAUCCUGGGCUUCCUGCGGGUGCCUUCUGCCCCCUUUUCUGUGCUGGGGUGGUCCAGGCUGCUCGUGCCGUGCCCUGGAGAGCAGGCCCAGCUCCUGCUGCUUUGUAUGUUUCUGCGCUGUUCCCCCCUGUGCUAAACCCCUGCUGCUGCCACCCCUGUCUCUGUGUCCCCCCACUCCAGCUGCCUGCAGCCCCCCCAUCCUGGGGCAGGGAGCUCUGAGCAUCCCUACCCUGGGACCACACUUGUCCCUCACCACCCCCUGACCCCCUUUCCUGCCUUGCCAGGGCCCAGCUGGGCACUGCCACAUCCUGCUGCCUGCACCAGCUCCUCCGAGCCACCCUCAAAGGUGACCAGGGGUGGUGGGAGCAGGAUGGAUGGUGGCCAUGGCUCCGGGUGUGCUGCAGUCCUGUGGGGAACCGGGCUCACCGGCUCCUCCUGCCCUACUUUCCUGCCUGGCAGCGGCACAUUCGCCUUUGUCUUCUCAGAGCCUGGAAGCUUCU
rnacentral:lncRNA from 1 species